rnacentral:lncRNA from 1 species
GCCGCUCAAAGGUGAGUUUUUCCGGUCGCCGUUCGUCGGCGCGUUUGAAUUCUGCCCGUUGCAGUUCGCAUGGUCAUACGGGCCGAGCAGGUGGUCUGCUACGUGCGAGUCCUGUGAAGGUUCCGCAGGCCCAUACAGGGCCAGCGGGCCGUGUCUGUUUCGGAUCGCAUGGUCUGCUACGUGCGAGUCCUGGGAACAUUUCGCAAGCCCGUACGAGGCCGGCGGGGCUUGUCAUUCGAAGUUGGUCCCCUGCUGGGCGUUCUCUGCCUGAUGGCAAUACGGGCCUGGCAGGAACAGGAACGGCAGGUAAUGUGAUCUCAGGGAUUCGUUCUGCUGGGAUUGCGUUCUGGCGGCUUCUCGGCCGAGUCUGGUGUAGUUCGGCUCCGCGUGCCCCGAUUGUCUCUCCUGCCGAAGCUAAGAUGGCGUUCCGCGGAGGUGGUCGUGGGGGCGGAGAGUAUCAAGGGGGCGAUUGAUUUUAUGAUCGUGAUCGGCGUGGCUACGGUGGAGGUGGCAGCAGGGGUAGUUUCAACGAGGGCUAUGGUGACAACGAGGGCUAUGGUGAUGGCCGGGAGGAUUUUGGUCGUGAGGACUUUGGUGGCUACAAUGGUGAUCGCUUCUCCAACGGAUGAGACGGUGAUGGUUCGCUGGCCCCGGUGGACCUCCACGUUACGGAGAUGGUGGUGGGAAUUGGCGGCGCUAUGAAUUCCGCGCCGGUCGUGGCUCUACGGGUCAUGGUCGUGGUCUUCCACCGGCUCGCGGUCUUGGCGGCUGUGCUGGCCGUGGUGGAGGUGGCGGUAAGGGCGCUGCUGCAACUUCGACCUCGGCUGGCGUGACGGCCGUGGCGGAGACAGGAGCUACAAAUGCCUCUGCCUCUGCGACAGGGGUAGUGUCCGGGGAAGGCCAAGCUGCAGCGGUAGCCAGUGCUCCCUUGGCCGCUGUUGUUCCCGUGGUGUCUUCGGCUGGACUGGGGGGGGGGGGGUGCGCAGCAGUCGGGUGGGGGAGUGCUGCUGGCAGCAGCAGCUUCUCUCACUGCUACUGAGGUUCCCGAAACGUCGGGCGUGUCCAAACCAGCGAAAAAAGCUAGCAAGGUGAAGUGCUAUAGAUGCAACCAAUCGGGUCAUUUCUCUGCUGAUUGUACAACUCUUGUUUGUGAUAUUUGCGAGUCUGCAGCUCACUUGAAAGAUGUGUGCCCGUUGUUGUCGGCGCCGAAGCAACAAGUGAUCAUGCACGGUUUUGGGGAGACUUUGUUGUUCUUUGAGCUGCCAGUGUCAGACUCUUUUAGGCCUCGCCGGGAGAGUGGCAGAGUUGGGUUAAUUUCUGUGUCAGGAGGUAGCUUGUCUGUUGAGCUGGUUACCUCGCUUCUGCAGUGGUUGGUGCUGACUGAAAAUUUUCAAUGGGAGGUGAACUUGUAUGAGAAAGAUGUGUUCAAGGCUGGUUUCCCUUCGAAGGCUGAGCUCCAGCGAAUGACUCGGUCUGGCAUGUUUUCUGUCCCUACUAGUCCGUGCGCAAUUACUUUCUCUGAUUGGUGUGCGAAAGUUGAGCCUGAAUGGAGUUUACAGGAGGUGUGGGUGCGGGUGACCGGUAUCCCGCCUGAUAUCUUAGGUGAUUAUGUCACUAUGUGGGGAGUUGGAUCUUUGUUGGGCAAGACCAAGGAGGUCGACAUGCCGUAUACUCGGAGGCAUGGGGUUCUUCACAUUUUGGUUUCUUGUACAGAUUACAGAAGCAUACCUAAGGAAAAAGAUGUGCUUAUCAGGGGCAGUGGAUAUGUGCUUGGUUUUCAGGUGGAGGCACCCGUGGGUUUGAUUGAUCCGGUUGACACUAAAAUGGCCGAUGCUCAUGACGAUGAUACGGAUGGGGGUGAUAAGGCUGAGAAGAAUGAGACCAUUUUUGAUCAAAUCGCAAAUCGACCCUAAAGAUAAUUCUAAAAUACAUGAUGCUAAUGGGUCCUCGUCGUCAACAAGUGGAGGUGGUACAGCCCCGGGUGGGACACAAUUUGCUUCUACUGUGUUUCCUGCUAUCCGCUUCGGAUCUUUUGCUUUGGAGCCGACUCCGCGGUCUUGUGUGUCGGCUUCGCGUCCAUGCU